AAAUAGCGGACUAGGACCAGCAUGGAAGCUGCAGAGACUCGUCAUAGUUUCCUUGAAAUAGGACAAAGCGUUCCAGUUUACUGGGCUUCAAAAGGAGUCCAAAGGCUGUCACACUGAAAAAGAAAGAAAAGGGGAAAAACAACUGUACCACAUGUGAAUAUAAAAAAGAAGAGAACGCUAGCCAAUUGCACCACCACCGGAUGGAAGAGCCCAGAUGACACAACCUGGACUAGGGAGUUUGAGUUUACUCCUUUUACUUCAGGAAAGCCUCAACUCGGUUACUGUGACUUCAGAAGUAUGGCCUGAAUAGAUUCAGUCAUUGUUAUCAGUCCAUUAUCAAAUAGAUAUGUAUUUCAACAUGUGAUACUGAUAGAAUUGACAAACAAAUUGCAUUUUAAAAGCUAUCUUCUUGGCUGAAGCCACUGAAGAAAAACUGGGAGAGGUAGGAUGGUGGCACUGGGGGGUACGAGUGCUCCCACAGGGUUGCAAACAUAGGAUUAGAAUUUGC